UACGGAGGGUGCAAGCGUUACUCGGAAUUACUGGGCGUAAAGCGUGCGCAGGCGGUUUGUUAAGUCUGUUGUGAAAUCCCCGAGCUCAACUUGGGAAUUGCAAUGGAUACUGGCAGGCUGGAGUAUGGUAGAGGAAGGUGGAAUUCCCGGUGUAGCAGUGAAAUGCGUAGAGAUCGGGAGGAACAUCUGUGGCGAAGGCGACUGCCUGGACCAGCACUGACACUGAGGCACGAAAGCGUGGGGAGCAAACAGG
rnacentral:rRNA from 1 species